rnacentral:rRNA from 1 species
AUUGAACGCUGGCGGCAGGCCUAACACAUGCAAGUCGAACGGUAGCACAGAGGAGCUUGCUCCUUGGGUGACGAGUGGCGGACGGGUGAGUAAUGUCUGGGAAACUGCCCGAUGGAGGGGGAUAACUACUGGAAACGGUAGCUAAUACCGCAUAACGUCUUCGGACCAAAGUGGGGGACCUUCGGGCCUCACACCAUCGGAUGUGCCCAGAUGGGAUUAGCUAGUAGGUGGGGUAAUGGCUCACCUAGGCGACGAUCCCUAGCUGGUCUGAGAGGAUGACCAGCCACACUGGAACUGAGACACGGUCCAGACUCCUACGGGAGGCAGCAGUGGGGAAUAUUGCACAAUGGGCGCAAGCCUGAUGCAGCCAUGCCGCGUGUAUGAAGAAGGCCUUCGGGUUGUAAAGUACUUUCAGCGGGGAGGAAGGCGAUGUGGUUAAUAACCGCAUCGAUUGACGUUACCCGCAGAAGAAGCACCGGCUAACUCCGUGCCAGCAGCCGCCGUAAAAC